CACGUAGGGCGCGAGCGUUGUCCGGAAUUAUUGGGCGUAAAGAGCUCGUAGGCGGCCUGUUGCGUCCGCUGUGAAAGCCCGGGGCUUAACCCCCGGGUCUGCAGUGGAUACGGGCAGGCUAGAGGUAGGUAGGGGAGAAUGGAAUUCCCGGUGUAGCGGUGAAAUGCGCAGAUAUCGGGAGGAACACCGGUGGCGAAGGCGGUUCUCUGGGCCUUACCUGACGCUGAGGAGCGAAAGCGUGGGGAGCGAACAGG
rnacentral:rRNA from 1 species